rnacentral:rRNA from 1 species
CCUACGGGCGGCAGCAGUGGGGAAUAUUGGACAAUGGAGGAAACUCUGACCCAGCAACGCCGCGUGAAUGAUGAAGGUCUUCGGAUUGUAAAGUUCUUUUCUAAGGGAAGAAGAAAGUGACGGUACCUUAGGAAUAAGCCUCGGCUAACUACGUGCCAGCAGCCGCGGUAAGACGUAGGAGGCGAGCGUUAUCCGGAAUGACUGGGCGUAAAGGGGGCGUCGGUGGUUUAGCAAGUUAGUAGCGUAACUCCAAGGCUCAACCUUGGAACUACUACUAAAACUGUUGGACUUGAGUGCAGGAGGGGCAACCGGAAUUCCUAGUGUAGCGGUGGAAUGCGUAGAUAUUAGGAGGAACACCAGUGGCGAAGGCGGGUUGCUAGACUGUAACUGACACUGAGGCACGAAAGCGUGGGGAGCAAACAGGAUUAGAUACCCCGGUAGUC